rnacentral:rRNA from 1 species
UACCAGGGUUUGACAUCCCUCGAAUCUCUGUGAAAGCGGAGAGUGCCUUCGGGAGCGAGGAGACAGGUGGUGCAUGGCUGUCGUCAGCUCGUGUCGUGAGAUGUUGGGUUAAGUCAMCGCAACGAGCGCAACCCACGUUUUCAGUUGCCAGCAUUAAGUUGGGGACUCUGGAGAGACUGCCGGUGACAAACCGGAGGAAGGUGUGGACGACGUCAAGUCAUCAUGCCCCUUACAUCCUGGGCUACACACGUACUACAAUGGUUAGGACAAAGGGCAGCGAAGCCGCGAGGUGGAGCAAAACUCAUAAACCUAGCCUCAGUUCAGAUUGCAGGCUGCAACUCGCCUGCAUGAAGGAGGAAUCGCUAGUAAUCGCAGGUCAGCAUACUGCGGUGAAUACRUUCCCGGGCCUUGUACACACCGCCCGUCACACCAUGGGAGUUGGCCACGCCCGAAGUCGUUACCCUMACCGUUCGCGGAGGGGGACGCCGAAGGUGGGGCUGAUGACUGGGGUGAAGUC